GGUCACUGCGCUGGUUGGGGCGCUGAGCACGGGACCGGCCGGCUUCAGCCACGUCCAGGCCCCGGCUGGCCACCAGGUGAGCGCUCCCGAGCGCUCCCAACGCGUCGCGGGCGGCCGUGCGUCCACCAGGCCAAGUACAGGUCAUGGAGCGGCGCCCUGGGGGCGGCACGGACCCUAGGGGAAGCAAAGGAGGUACCGGGCUCGGGGUGGGAGGGUGGUGGGUGCGUCCCUGCCAGCCCUCGCACCUCCUGUCUGCUCCUCACCUUCUCCUUCUGACAGGUGGUAAACAAAGCAGCCCUGGCGCCCGAGUGGCGGCGGCGGCGAGCGGCGGGGGCGGCGGCGGUGGAGGGCAGCGGCCCAGCGACCCCAGCUGGGCUCGAGGAGCCGCACCCACACCCACACCCACACCUGCGCCGCGGGGCGGCGCACCAGACCCCGGGACUCCAAGGAGUCUCGGGGGAGGUGUGCUGGAGGGGUCUGCCCAGGGCGGUGGCGGUCCCCAGCCCGAGGAUGCCAGCGCCAGACAGUUCCUGGCGCGGCUGAAAGCUCGCCCCCUGGCGGCCCGAGCUGCGGCCGACGUGGCGGCGCUGGUACGCAGGGCCGGCGCCACCUUGCGCCUGCGCCCCAAGGAGGCCCUUAGAAUACCAGAAGGACAAUGACAUCAUGGAUUUGUCCCAAGAUGCCCUUGCCUCCUAGGAAGAGUUCCUGGCAUGUCAAGUACAGUCGGUUUUAAAAGCCUUGCGUUGUACUUCCCUGGUCGUGCAGUGGCUAAUGUUCAAGGCUCCCAAUGUAGGGGGCCAGGUUCAGUUACCUUGGGGAAUUGGAUCCUAAGUAACUAAGACCUUGCACAGCCAAAUAAAUAAGUAUUAAAAAAAAAAAAACACGUGUAAUUUUGAGAAGCUUGAACCAUCC
ensembl:lncRNA